rnacentral:tRNA from 1 species
GCGCGCGAUGGCGAAGGUGAUCGUGACGGCGAUCGGCUCGGCGGGCGACGUGCAUCCGCUGCUCGGCGUCGCGCGCGCGCUC